AUACACUAACAAAAAAAUUGUUCUUGUCUUAAUGUGCAUUGCCUGUGAUUUAAAUGCUACUUACAGUAUAGUUAACAUGAAUAAGCAAGAGCUACAGCAAGAGCCAGGAGCCAAGCAAAUUGACAUUCCUUAUUUCUUAUCUUAGCGAGUCAAGCUACAGCUUUCCUUACAUAAUCAAAUACUGUUUGACAGGAACUUUCUCUGCAAAAACAGACUACAGAACAGCAAAAGUUUUAGUAAAUGUCUGAACCCAAAACACACUACUUCUGUGGAAUUCGCAAGUAACAAAAGCAGCUGCAUGCGUUCCUUUAGAGUUAAUAUCACAAGGAUGUGGACCAGAAGAAGAGUUUUAUGGCAAACUAUGACAAGUGGGGAAAAAAAAAACACAAAACACUCCUCCUAACUUCACAGGAGUUACUUAUGUGUUCGUGAAUAGGAAAACAUUCUUCCAAAGUUCUUCUGUCAGGGUCUAAACUUUACUAAAUGUGAAAAUGCAACAAUUCAACAAGU